rnacentral:tRNA from 1 species
GCCUGGCUGGCUCAGUCAGAAGAGCAUGUGACUCUUGAUCUCAGGGUCAUAAGUUCAAAUCCCAGGUUGGGCC